rnacentral:lncRNA from 1 species
UCCGACAUUUAAUCACCAUCCCUAUAAACCUUUAGAACCAAAAAAAAGAACAAAAGGAGAAAACACCAGGUAGCUAAUAAAUCCAGGAUGUCAUGCGCUUAGCUGGAACAAUUAUAAAUACAACUGGUUCUGCUCAGCAAGAGAUGAAGUUGAAAAAUAUAGACUUCUCACCUUUGCUUGAAGUGGUAUAAGAGUAUGAUUCCAGGAUGUCAUAUGGCUGCAUCUGCCAC